rnacentral:rRNA from 1 species
UGGGGAAUAUUGGACAAUGGGCGAAAGCCUGAUCCAGCCAUGCCGCGUGUGUGAAGAAGGUCUUCGGAUUGUAAAGCACUUUAAGUUGGGAGGAAGGGCAGUAAGCGAAUACCUUGCUGUUUUGACGUUACCGACAGAAUAAGCACCGGCUAACUCUGUGCCAGCAGCCGCGGUAAUACAGAGGGUGCAAGCGUUAAUCGGAAUUACUGGGCGUAAAGCGCGCGUAGGUGGUUCGUUAAGUUGAAUGUGAAAGCCCCGGGCUCAACCUGGGAACUGCAUCCAAAACUGGCUAGCUAGAGUAGGGCAGAGGGUGGUUGAAUUUCCUGUGUAGCGGAGAAAUGCGUAGAUAUAGGAAGGAACACCAGUGGCGAAGGCGACCACCUGGGCUCAUACUGACACUGAGGUGCGAAAGCGUGGGGAGCAAACAGG